UAAUCCAUUUUCUUUCCUGAUCAUUAAUUUUUUUAUUUGAAUAACUGACCCAUUGUUUCUCAUUUAAUAUAUUUUAAUUAAUACACCGUCUAGGUUGCUGAUUUGAAAUAUUCUGUAAGCUUUAUUCUACUAGAGCAAUCUGAAGAAAAUGAAGACUUAUUUGUUGCUACUGUCAAUCUUUUCACUGUUGCUGCUCGUUAUCAGCCUGCUUUUUUUAUUGUUGUAUUUGCCACCAAAGAGUUUAUGGACGUCCAACUAGGUAAUGCUAGUGAUGGGAAGCUGCCAGCAAUUGAGGUUUCCUCUGGGCCAGUAGAGUCUAAAAGUUCAAGCCUUGUAGAUGCAGUACUUUGUUAUGUUGUAAAUUCUGACAGUCAUAUCAAUAAGAAUGUUUUGUGUUGAAAGUAGUAACUUUUAACUAUGUUGAAUAUUUAAGACUCCUUGAAUACUUAAAGAAUAUUUUGUAUGUUUUAAACUAAUUUGUGGAUUGUUAAUACAAUGUUGAAUGUUUUUACUU